ACAACACAAGACAUUGCUUUUUACUAGUAUUUUAAAUUUGUUCAUUCAACUCUAAGAUAUGUCUCUCAAGUGUAUUGUAUGUAUAUAUAUAUACAUAUAUAUAUGAAGCUUAUUGCUUGUUUUGGUUGUAGAGUUCGCAGAGGGGUCGCCAUUAGAGGCAUACAUGGCACUUAAUGAUAUAGAUGCUGCUGUCGAAAGUUUCAAGAAGGCAUUGGAAUUGGAGCCAAAUGAUGCUGGAAUAAAAAAGGAGCUGGCUGCUGCAAAGAAGAAGAUUUCGGAUAGACGAGAUCUGGAGAGAAAAGCAUAUUCUAAGAUGUUCCAAUAGCAGUUGGUGGUUGCAUGGCUACCAUUGUCUCUUAGGAACAAUAUACAGUUAGUUACUGUGCUGAUUCAAUGUUGGAUUGAGUGAACUUGUUCAGGCUUUUUCAUACAUUCAGGUAAUGUUGCUUUUUCUUUUCAGUCAAGUCCGGGUGACUUUUGUGUAUGUCUACCAGUUUGCAUCAAUUCAAGAAAUUUUCACUUAAGUUGUGGAGAUUUCUUUGGCUGAUCCAUCUUAUGAUGAUUUGACCUUAAUUUGUUUCGGGUUAUAAAAUAGGGUUAGCUACACUAAGACUCCCUCAACUGAACGAAUAUCGGUUUACUCCCCCCAUCUAUGAACCGGUACAGUCUAACCCCUCAACUAUAAAACCGUGUAAAUUCCUCUCUUGGAAGAAAAAAAUUCACUACAAUGGUGAUAGCAUGCCAUCACCGACUUUAUAAAUUACCAUGUAAGUAUGAUUAGUCCUGCUAUGCAGUAGUUACAAAAUUAUGUUGG